AUGAAGAAAUGGGAUAAAGAUGCUGUAGUCACUCGAGGACAGAUAAAUGCCUGCUCACAGAGCAAGAUUGGAAAGGAGAGGGAGGUGGGCCAUGGGCUUCAGUUCAGAGAAGCACAGCAACAGCAAAUACAAGCUCCUCCAAGGGAACCUGACAUGUUCCUCCUCUCGGAAUGCAAAGCCCCAGAGGAAAAUGCACAGGUAGACCUGGGUUGUUUGGUAAUUGGACCGAAGCCAUUGAAAAUCAGCUGGGAGCCAAAGAAACCGAGUAUAAAUGAAUAUGUCUUCCCCUCUGAAAUUAAAGACAGAGAAUAUAUAAUGGUCCUCCGGGUCUCUAUGCUGGCCUCAGAACUGAACCUCAACCACACUUGCACCAUAGAUACCGUACCCAAAAAGAAAAAAACUUUCAAGUGGCCUGGGUCAUGGAAUUCUCAGUCCUCUCAGAAAGUCACUCCAACUCUCCAAGCAAAGAAUCACUCCACAGAAGCCACCAAAGCUACUGCCACCAAAAAGGACAUAGAAGGGGCCAAGGCACCCAGCAACCUCACUGUGAACAUCCUGACCACAUCCACCCAUCCUGAGAUGUCAUCUUGGCUCCUGUGUGAAGUAUCUGGCUUCUUCCCCAAAAAUAUCCACCUCAUGUGGCUGAGCGUCCACAGUGAAAUGAAGUCUACGAACUUUGUCACUGCAAACCCCACCCCCCAGUCUGGGGGCACAUUCCAGACCUGGAGUGUCCUGAGACUACCAGUCGCUCUGAGCCCUUCACUUGACACUUACACAUGUGUGGUGGAACAUGAAGCCUCAAAGACAAAGCUUAAUGCCAGCAAGAGCCUAGCGAUUAGUGGCAUUGUCAACACCAUCCAACACUCAUGUAUCGCGGAUGAGCAAAGCGACAGCUACAUGGACAUAGAGGAGGAGAAUGGCCUGUGGCCCACACUGUGCACCUUCGUGGCCCUCUUCCUGCUCACACUGCUCUACAGUGGCUUCGUCACCUUCAUCAAGGUCAAUGUGGUCCUUUCAAAGUACCCAUCUGCUAUGGAAACCCACCACGAAUUAAACCCACCAGAAAUUAAAUUCCAUAGGCCCACAUACCGAGAGAUCUACUUAACUUUUAAGCUGCAGGUCUCGCUUACCCUCUGA